rnacentral:rRNA from 1 species
GACGAACGCUGGCGGCGUGCUUAACACAUGCAAGUCGAACGGAAAGGCCCUGCUUUUGUGGGGUGCUCGAGUGGCGAACGGGUGAGUAACACGUGAGUAACCUGCCCUUGACUUUGGGAUAACUUCAGGAAACUGGGGCUAAUACCGGAUAGGAGCUCCUGAUGCAUGGUGGGGGUUGGAAAGUUUCGGCGGUUGGGGCUGGACUCGCGGCUUAUCAGCUUAUUGGUGGGGUAGUGGCUUACCAAGGGUUUGACGGGUAGCCGGCCUGAGAGGGUGACCGGCCACAUUGGGACUGAGAUACGGCCCAGACUCCUACGUGAGGCAGCAGUGGGGAAUAUUGCACAAUGGGCGGAAGCCUGAUGCAGCAACGCCGCGUGCGGGAUGACGGCCUUCGGGUUGUAAACCGCUUUCGCCUGUGACGAAGCGUGAGUGACGGUAAUGGGUAAAGAAGCACCGGCUAACUACGUG